ACAAGCGGAGGAGCAUGUGGUUUAAUUCGAUGAUACGCGAGGAACCUUACCUGGGCUCGAACGUAAGAUGACUGUAGGUGAAAGCUUACAUCUCUUCGGAGCAUUUUACGAGGUGCUGCAUGGUUGUCGUCAGCUCGUGCCGUGAGGUGUCGGGUUAAGUCCCAUAACGAGCGCAACCCUACCUUUAGUUGCCAUCAGGUUAAGCUGGGGACUCUAAAGGAACUGCCUACGCAAGUAGUGAGGAAGGCGGGGAUGACGUCAAAUCAGCACGGCCCUUACGUCCAGGGCUACACACGUGCUACAAUGGCCGAUACAGAGGGCAGCUACCUGGUGACAGGAUGCAAAUCUCCAAAGUCGGUCUCAGUUCGGAUCGGAGUCUGCAACCCGACUCCGUGAAGCUGGAAUCGCUAGUAAUCGCGCAUCAGCCAUGGCGCGGUGAAUACGUUCCCGGGCCUU
rnacentral:rRNA from 1 species